rnacentral:rRNA from 1 species
GACAGAGGGUGCAAACGUUGUUCGGAAUUACUGGGCGUAAAGCGCGUGUAGGCGGCCUUGCAAGUCGGAUGUGAAAGCCCUGGGCUCAACCCAGGAAGUGCACUCGAAACUGCAAGGCUUGAGUUCCGGAGAGGAAAGCGGAAUUCUCGGUGUAGAGGUGAAAUUCGUAGAUAUCGGGAGGAACACCAGUGGCGAAGGCGGCACUCUGGGCCAGUACUGACACUGAGGAGCGAAAGCGUGGGGAGCGAACAGG